rnacentral:rRNA from 1 species
GACGAACGCUGGCGGCGUGCUUAACACAUGCAAGUCGAACGGUGAACCUCUUCGGAGGGUAUCAGUGGCGAACGGGUUAGUAACACGUGGGCAACCUGCCCCCUGCUCUUGCAUAACUCCAACAAAUUGUGGCUAAUACCCGAUGUUCACCGCUUCCCGCAUUGUUGGUUGUUGAAAGGGUUUCCUGCUGGUGAUGGUCCCGCGGCCUAUCAGCUUUUUCGUGGGGUAGUUUCCUACCAAGGUGACGACGGGUAGCCGGCCUGAGAGGGUGACCGGCCACACGAGGACUGAGGCAGGGAGCAGAAUCAAAAGGGAGGCAGUGGUGGAGAAUAUGGCGGAAUGGGGGGAAGUGAGAGGAAGAGAAGCCGGGUGGGGGAUGACGGCCUUCGGGAUGAAAACCUGUUUCAGAAGGGAAGAUGCGCAAGUGACGGUAACUGCAGAAGAAGCACAGGGCAACUACGUG